AUGUUCUCUGAAGCGCACAAGGUGGCAGAAAUGAUAUCAGAUCCCGAGCCAGUUGCUGGCGAGCCUUGGGAUUCAAUGAGUUCAUCCAUGUGGGCUAACGCAGAGCAUGAGAAGGAAUUUAUUCUUCGCUCAACAGCUUUUCGCCCUGCUUCGUGUUCCGCCCUAACUCCUCAGAGGCUCACUGUCCGUGUCAGCAAAGAGCAGUUUGCCAUGGCUGGGUGCUGGACUCAAGAUACUACUUUUCAGUGAAUUAGCCCAUCACAAACUUUAGGCUUUAAUCUGCACUGGCCUUGUUUUAACUGUGAUGUAUAAUUAUAUUAGGUUUACUUAUUCCUAAAUUUUGUCAAUUUAUUGAUGCUGCCUAUUUCUUGUGCUCAGAAAAACACAAGUCACAGUGUUAUCCUGAGUUUUAUCAUUAAUUGUUCCAUAUGAAUCAGAGUUUACUAUUUUUAAGGAAAUAAUUGUAUUCCCUCUUUUCACAAUGGUUCAUCAGUUUAAUUGUCAAGUUGUUUGCCCUUUUUUGAAACAGAGUAUCCACAACUCAACUCCCAGGAGUUUUUUUACAUGUCAGGGUGCAUAUUUGUGUAAAAACAUGUAUCUACACAGGCCAUCUGUGGCUGGUAGCCUCUUUUAUUACAAAUACAUCCAGCAAGAAAACUUUGAAGUUUAGACACGAUUAGAUACUGGCCAAUAUGCGCCAGAAUUCCAAAUCAAAACUGAUUGUAGAAAGAAAAAAUCCACAUGCGCAUUUCUCUCGGAGAGACAAGUGCCAAGCAGUGUAUCUUUUUGUUGGUAAUUUGCUUCCAUGAAUGUUUCCCUCCAUAAUGUGAAUUUCAGUUUUAAAUUGAAUUCUAGCACAUGUUUGCCCAAAAAUCAAUAGUGUCUAAAUGACGGGGGCUCACAAGCCUGCUCAUGGUAAUUUUAAAGUUGGCUGUAAGGCAUUCAAUUGAGUGAAAUAAUCAUAGAAUAUUAUUUUAAUGAAAAAAAUAACCGUUAAGCCGGUGGCUUUUACCAGUCUUAGUGCAUCAAUUUUUUGUUUUGUUCCUGCCUCAAAGUUUUUCAGUAUUUUUUAAAGGAAGUUAGUCAAAAAUUGGGGAAUUUCAGUUGUAAAUUUCUGGUACCUUAAUUUCCUUUAAAAGGAUUUGCAUACUUGAAGGAAUGCAACGUAAUUCCUGCGAUUGUCUUCCUGAAUCUGAUUCCAAAGCUCAGUCUAUAUAUCAUUAUCUUCAGAGGGUAGUGUAACUACCCUUUAAAAGUUUAAGCUUAUCCACAAAAAAUUAUCCAUCUGCAUUUUAACUAUGGAGAAGAAACUUUCUCAGCAGUUAUUAACCUUUACUAUUUAUGCAGAAGCAUGUUUUUUUUUUUUAAAUUAUGGUUUGAAAUUUACUUUAAAUCUUGAAAUAUUCUCUUAGGUUGCUUUAAUUUUGGGUAAAGUCAUCUUUUGUCCUUACCAGAGUAGGAAUGGCAAAAGGCAGUGUUGACACCAAUUUCAAAAACUCAAAAUAAUUUCCCGCAUCAUUUUUUUUUAUGUAUCUUGAAACUGACUUUUCUCCAGAACUGCUCUCUACCAUACAAAAUUUUGCUACUGCAGAAUCCCCUUAAUUUGUAUAAAAUCAUUGGCUCAUUCGAUUUCAAAUAAUAGAACAUUAUAUUGCUCAUCAGGACAACUUCUUGUUGUAAAAUUUUCAAAAAUGACAGUGGAUCUUUAGUGGAGCCUUUUGUCUGUCUUAUUUUUAGGAAUUAUUGCUAAGUUUUAUUUAUUUACAUAGUUUUCAUAGUUGCAAUGUGAUAUUAGGAUGAAAGUAUAUGAACAAAAAAUCUAUCAUCAGUGCUAUGUAUACCUGAGUUCAAAAUUAUCAAACUUUCAGCGCAGUUUAGUUGUAUGGUUCAUAUUUCCCGCAAAUUCUUAUUCCAGAAUGUCAGCUCAUUUACUUUCUCGCAUUUAAUAUGUAGCUUGUAUUUCAAAUAAUCUACUCUUUAACAGUGAUCGGAUUUGUGAAGAGGGAACUUAUAUUUCCGGAGAAAAUUUUCCUUAACUUUUUUUAAAAACUUAUAAACUUUUUUACAACCUAUGAAUUUUUGUCUUCGAACUACAGGACUCGUAUCUCCCUCAAUUCCUGAGCAUUUAAGGUCAAACUUGUACCCAGUUUUCUGACUUUCUUCUCCUACUUUUGCAAAAAGUCAAGAAAAAGUUUCUACCGGAAGAUAAGCUCAGUUAAAUUAGGACUAACAUUAUAUCUUAUUCAGCUUAUCUAGGUGGCUUACUUUAAUUUCAAAUAAGGUUUCACAGAUCAGGUCACAAAUAUUUUUAAUUUUUUAAAUAUUCUUCAAGUGUACAAGCGCACAAAUUUAAUCUAACAUUUCCUAUUUUUGUUGAAUGCUUGACAAGAUUCACAAAGUGGAUUCUCAGCACUCAGUUAUAUUUAACAUGAAACACCUAGGUAGUUGCAUUAGACGUUGUUUAACUUCCUCUCAUGUUUAUUUUUUCAAUAGAAAACAAACCGAUAUUUUAACUUAAACUUUUUUGAGUACGCUCUUCAUAAUCUAGGAGAAAUUUACAGAAAGUUUCAAGGUGGUAUAUCGUUUGGUUCUCUGUUAAUAAUGCGGACUUGAGAUGAAAUCAGACUGCAAGAAAUGUAAUUAGAUUGAUUCAGGUCAAAUAUUUCCCGUUGUUCUGGCAGCUCUAUGAAUAUUGUAUGUGAACAUAAGAGCUCUGAAAUAAUUUAAUCUUCCAGAAAUGCUACAUUCUGUUAUGUAUUUAUUUUAUACUUUUAUUUUCUUAAGUAUGUAGGUAGUUCAGAUAUGUUGUUUAUCUACGAUUUCAUUCAAUUUAUUGUGCAACUGCUAACAUAAAAAAAUGAAAUGCUAACAUUUAAAAUAUAAUGAAAGGAAGAAAAAAUGUUGGAAUGUAUGUAUCUUCUCUCCUCUUUUAUGAGGCUGUAAAAAGUUGUGUAUCCUUAUGUUUAAAAUUCAAGAGAUACCACAGUUGUCAUCUCUCGCACGAAGAAACGAAUCUCUAUGUGAUGUCUCUAAUUUCACACUGACAUUUUAUCGUUUUAGAGAAAAAUUGUAACAUAAAUUUUCUAAAAUUUGUUGUGAUUUUUCCUCACUUUAGUAGGAGAAGAUUUUAAAAUUGUUAGACAAAUACAUGCAUCGAUUCUCCUUUGACAAAAUUAAAUCUUGUAGAAAUAUCAAAACAGCGCCUUCAGGAUAUGCUUUUUUGUGUGGGAGACAAGCCCAUAGUAGCUCUUGGCCUUUGCCAUAAUAUUCGUAUUAUAUUAUGGCCAUCAGCACUUAAACUUCGUGUGGUGUGG
rnacentral:lncRNA from 1 species